GGGUAACGGGGUGUUAGGGCACGACACCGGAGAGGGAGCCUGAGAAACGGCUACCACAUCCAAGGAUGGCAGCAGGCGCGCAAAUUACCCAAUCCCGACACGGGGAAGUAGUGACAAUAAAUAACAAUACGGGGUUCUUUCGGAUCUCGUAAUUGGAAUGAGUACAAUUUAAAUCUCUUAACGAGGAACAAUUGGAGGGCAAGUCUGGUGCCAGCAGCCGCGGUAAUUCCAGCUCCAAUAGCGUAUAUUAAAGUUGUUGCAGUUAAAAAGCUCGUAGUUGAAUUUCGGGGUUAGUAGGUUGGUCAUGCCUCUGGUAUGCACUGGUCUCACUGAUUCCUCCUUCCUGAUGAGCCGUAAUGCCAUUAAUUUGGUGUUGCGGGGAAUUUGGACUGUUACUUUGAAAAAAUUAGAGUGUUUAAAGCAAGCUAACGCUUGAAUACAUUAGCAUGGAAUAAUGAAAUAGGACGUUCGAUCCUAUUUUGUUGGUUUCUAGGAUUGACGUAAUGAUUAAUAGGGAUAGUUGGGGGCAUUAGUAUUCAAUUGUCGGAGGUGAAAUUCUUGGAUUUAUUGAAGACUAACUACUGCGAAAGCAUUUGCCAAGGAUGUUUUCAUUAAUCAAGAACGAAAGUUAGGGGAUCGAAGACGAUCAGAUACC
rnacentral:rRNA from 1 species